rnacentral:lncRNA from 1 species
AGGAGCAGAAGAUCCAGCAUUCUCCAAAGCCCAUGCAAGAAGCAGGAAUUGCUGUAAAGAAAGAUCAACUCCUUAGCCUGGCCCAGUCCAUGUGUCUAUGUCCUUAUGUGGCAGGACUGAGGAGAAGGAAGAGAAAGAUGAAUGAGGCAGGAAGAGAAAGAUGAAUGAGGCAGGACUGCAUUUUUCUGAUGCCUCCAUAUGUUUGGAAAUCUGAAACUUGGGAACUUCAGUACUUGUGGGUAUAGUGGGAAACAGCAACAUCAUAGAAAAUAGGUCUGGAAGGAGGCUGAAGCAGUCAUCAGAUGCAUUCCUCCAUCCCAAGGUAGGAUCAGCUCUGUUUAACAACUCCUAAUGGUAGACCUAAUGUAUUCUUAAAUUUGCGAUGCUGAAGCCUGCACU